UAUGAAAUCAGUAAAACGUUUUCAAACAUUCCAAAGGAAAAGGGUUAUCGGGGAUGGUACAAUUGUAUGCCAAACAUGCAAUGCGACAAUCGAUCAUUUUGAGGACGAAAAAGUAACGGUAUUGUACGGUCAAUGUAGCGGUUGCGAUUGUGAAGACGAGGAAUAACAUAUAGAACGGAACAAACUUUGGGGGAUGAGGAGAUAAUAUAGAGAAGGGAUCGGCAUAGCCGGUCUCUUUUUG
rnacentral:sRNA from 1 species